AUCCCGUACGAUCACCGAAGUUAAGCAACAUCGAGUCUGGUCAGUAUUUAGAUGAGUGACCGCUAGGGAAUGUCACCUGCUGUAGG